rnacentral:rRNA from 1 species
CGCCUAACACAUGCAAGUCGAACGAAGUAGCAAUACUUAGUGGCAGACGGGUGAGUAACAUGUGGGUAUCUGCCCUUUGGCCUGGAAUAACACGAGGAAACUUGUGCUAAUACCGGAUAAGUCUUUACGGAGAAAGCUUUAUGCACCAUUGGAUGAGCCCGCACUUGAUUAGUUAGUUGGUAGGGUAAUGGCCUACCAAGACUGUGAUCAAUAGCUGAUUUGAGAGGAUGAUCAGCCACAUUGGGACUGAGACACGGCCCAAACUCCUACGGGAGGCAGCAGUGGGGAAUCUUGCACAAUGGAGGAAACUCUGAUGCAGCGAUGCCGCGUGAGUGAAGAAGGCCCUUGGGUUGUAAAGCUCUUUCGUCGGGGAAGAAAAUGACUGUACCCGAAUAAGAAGGUCCGGCUAACUUCGUGCCAGCAGCCGCGGUAAUACGAAGGGACCUAGCGUAGUUCGGAAUUACUGGGCUUAAAGAGUUCGUAGGUGGUUGAAAAAGUUGGUGGUGAAAUCCCAGAGCUUAACUCUGGAACUGCCAUCAAAACUUUUCAGCUAGAGUAUGAUAGAGGAAAGCAGAAUUUCUAGUGUAGAGGUGAAAUUCGUAGAUAUUAGAAAGAAUACCAAUUGCGAAGGCAGCUUUCUGGAUCAUUACUGACACUGAGGAACGAAAGCAUGGGUAGCGAAGAGGAUUAGAUACCCUCGUAGUCCAUGCCGUAAACGAUGUGUGUUAGACGUUGGAAAUUUAUUUUCAGUGUCGCAGCGAAAGCGAUAAACACACCGCCUGGGGAGUACGACCGCAGGGUUAAAACUCAAAUGAAUUGAC